UACGUAGGUGACCAGCGUUGUCCGGAUUUACUGGGCGUAAAGAGCGCGCAGGCGGUCGUUCAAGUCGAGUGUGAAAGCCCCCGGCUCAACUGGGGAGGGUCACUUGAUACUGAUCGACUCAAAGGCAGGAGAGGGAAGCGGAAUUCCCGGUGUAGUGGUGAAAUGCGUAGAUAUCGGGAGGAACACCAGUGGCGAAGGCGG
rnacentral:rRNA from 1 species